UACGAAGGGGGCGAGCGUUGUUCGGAUUUACUGGGCGUAAAGAGUGCGUAGGCGGUUCGUUAAGUCAGCUGUGAAAGCCCCGGGCUCAACCUGGGAACUGCGGUUGAAACUGGCGAACUAGAAUCUGGCAGAGGGGGGUGGAAUUCCACGUGUAGCAGUGAAAUGCGUAGAGAUGUGGAGGAACACCGAUGGCGAAGGCAGCCCCCUGGGCUGAGAUUGACGCUCAGGCACGAAAGCGUGGGGAGCAAACAGG
rnacentral:rRNA from 1 species